CUUGAGGGGAGCUGAGAUUAAAAAUAUGUGGGCCUUCAUCGCCUUAAGGCAAUCUAUCCAAAGAGCCUACCUUAUAAUAGAUUCAGCUAAAGCCGCGCUUGGAAGAUUGCUUUCUCAAUCAUGAAUCCGAGCUUACUACUUGAAUCACGAAAGGCGCUUUUCUCACUAUCUAUUCAAUUUAAAAUGCUCACUUAUGAAAUCAAGCUAAUAAGGCCAAAAACAGAGCAUGGAGUCCACUGGCAUGAGAAUCAAGCGAAGUAGAGAUAUAAGCGGAUCCAAAGAAAAGAAGCAAGACGACUACUUCCAUCCCUCUCCUUAGACUGACAGUACUACAAGAAAGAAAUAAGACAGAAAUAAGGCGAUUAUUACCUAAAAGAAUAAUGUGAAUUAGAAUAAUAAUACCUCACAAAGAAGGUAGAUGAAUUGCUUAGCCAAGACUAUCUCGACCUUAGCUUUCUUAUAUAUUUAGAUUCCCGUUCAUGAUCCUAGCCCCGGAAUCAAUUCACUCCAGCGCCUUCUCAGUCUUCUUGCAUCUUUCCAGCCUUUCAAAUUGACUAAGCGCUAAGCCUACUUGUGAAGAGAGGGGUCGUCGGGCUAUUACAGAGUGAAGGAAGGUGGGAAGGUGUCUUGUCUUGGCCUAGGCCUACUUGGGUCAACACCCAUAAAGUGUUGAAUAUCAUUAUAGUUUGUUUUUAGUAUAUAUCUUUCUUUUAUUUAAUCUUGAGGUUUUUUCUAAGAAUAUUGUAUAUAGUGUACAUAGUAUAUGUACUUUAUUGUCUAAUAGACUUCUCUCUUUAGUAAGAUUUUUCUUUUCAUAAUCAUAAUGUUUCCUUAUGAUUUUCUUUUUCUAAAAACAUAAGUACGAUUUUUAAUAAAAAUCCUUUCUGGUUUGCUUUAGCUUUUCCAGCAUUCACCGCUCCUUCAAUAGCCUUUUGCGUGGAUCCUGCACCUGCGCUUCCAGACCUCAACGAGAUUCCAGUAGGCCUUUCUCCUGCGAAAAUAGCCCAAUUGCAUCAGGAGACUGAAGAGAAAGCCACCCAGUGUGGCAAGCUCUUGCAAGAAAUUUGUGGGCAGGCAAAAGAACUUGUUGUCAGUCAGGGAGGAGCACAGGGCGAGCUCACGCUCGAGAAAUUCGUAGACGCCAUUAGGUAUCUUGCAGACGUGGAUGAGUUGCCGGAAGAGGAGCGAAUCCCCACUCUCAUUGAGUUCAGGGCCCCAAUCAAUAAUAAAGACUCGCCCAUUUGGUUUCAUAUAGAUAAAGAAAUGAAAAGAUGGGGGGGUCGUGGUCUAUGCUAAAUUCUUUUUCUUAGAUAGAAUGAAUGGAAAAGGAGUGCUUGUGUUGUGGUUUUCGUAGUUGCAAGAAUUAUUUUUCGAGAAAAGGUCCCCUCUUUCAAUAUCAUGAUUGGGUCGACCUGGCCAGAUCAUAAGUGAAUAGAAAAAAAAUGUACAUAGCUGUUCCAACUGAAAUACUUGGAAUAAUUCUACCACUUCUACUAGGAGUAACCUUUUUAGUGCUAGCUGAACGUAAAGUAAUGGCUUUUGUGCAACGUCGAAAGGGUCCUGAUGUAGUGGGAUCGUUUGGAUUGUUACAACCUCUAGCAGAUGGUUUGAAAUUGAUUCUAAAAGAACUUAUUUCACCAAGUAGUGCUAAUUUCUCCCUUUUAGAAUGGCUCCAGUGGCUACAUUUAUGUUAAGUCUAGUCGCUCGGGCCGUUGUACCUUUUGAUUAUGGUAUGGUAUUGUCAGAUCCGAACAUAGGACUACUUUACUUGUUUGCCAUAUCUUCGCUAGCCGUUUAUGGAUAG